rnacentral:rRNA from 1 species
CAGCCGCCGCGGGAAUACGAGGGGAGCUAGCGUUGUUCGGAAUUACUGGGCGUAAAGCGCGCGUAGGCGGCUUUUUAAGUCAGAGGUGAAAGCCCGGGGCUCAACCCCGGAAUUGCCUUUGAAACUGGAAAGCUAGAAUCUUGGAGAGGUCAGUGGAAUUCCGAGUGUAGAGGUGAAAUUCGUAGAUAUUCGGAAGAACACCAGUGGCGAAGGCGACUGACUGGACAAGUAUUGACGCUGAGGUGCGAAAGCGUGGGGAGCAAACAGGAUUAGAUACCCGCGUAGUCCCUGUCUCUUAUAC